GGUUUCUCUUGUAGCUACGCGAAUGUCUCCGGUGCUGUGUUUUGUGAUAAUUUCGACGACUCUGGCUAUUCUUUUGGACUUUUGUGACUUCUAUACCCGACCGACCUUUGCACUCCCCCUGGACCCUUGCUUGCCAUUACGAUUUACCCGUGCCUGUACUCCGGACCUUGAAAAAAUCAUGGGAAAAGACUAUGGAUCAUGGUCAACUGUACGCUUGAAGGACGAGCUGCGAAAACGCAAAGCAAAACUCUCUGGAAAGAAAGCAGUGCUUGUCCAGAGACUUGAAGAUUACGAUAAGCUGUUUGGACCAGUUGUAACCGACUCGGAAGUCGUAUUCAAAAUAAAAGUGCCGGAACCUGAAAGUUUCCGAGAUAUUACGAGUAACUCGGCUAUACCUGAUUUGGAUAUGGCUGAUAUAGAAUUGUUUUCCCAGCUCUCAGGGAGGGAAAACUUAAAGACGUCUCUGAAUAUGUAUGACGAAUAUUUUUUAAUGUCAUUCAGAGUAGCUUUUUUUAAUGCUGACUAUUAUAUUACUGGCAUGGUUGCAUCAGAGAUGAGGAAACAUAUUGUAUACAAUGUAACAGUAAAAGCAAAAAG